rnacentral:tRNA from 1 species
AGUUAACUUAGUGUAUUUGCACAUUGGACUUUCAAGCCAAAAGAGCAUAUUUAUGCAGUUAACUA